AUGACUGUUCAACUCUUGUGGGGAAACAGAAUCGAUAUUCCUCUUCACAACUCAGGUAUAUUCUGGUGCAGAGAACCUCAGCUAAUUGGUUUAAGACAUCAAGGCUUCCCCCCAAAGUUUUGGUUUCGAAUCAAACGGACUUGGAAUCAACACGACGUCACGGUUCUUCCUGCUUUCCAAUGCCAAUACACUCUGCGUCCAAACAUCCUGUUUCGAAGCAAAGAGCAUUUUUUGACGUGGAGCCAAUUUCGAGACAAUUCUUUCUCUCUUUCCCCCUCUUUCUCCCCUUUCUCCUACUGUGGUUUAGACAUAUAUUUUUGUUGUUCUAAUGGCCUUUCUCAUUUGGUGGAAGAUAUUGGUUUUCCCUUCCUUGGCCGGCUCCUCGUCCGGCUCCACUCCUUCCUCAUGUCAUUCCAUCUUUUUUACAAAAGGAAAAAAAUAUAUAUAUACAAACAAACAAAGGAACAAAUACUCUUUUUCUUUUCUCUCUCUCUCUCUUCUCUCUCUCUUUCUCUUUCUCUCUCUCUCUCUAGGAUGUGUAAUGUUGUGUUGUCCGGAUUCUGUAUAAAAACAAAAAAAAUAUGUAUAUGAUGAUGUAUCUGAUAUUUGGCAGCCUCCGGCUGCAACUUUAACCAAUAUAAUUAACAAAGAAAUGCAUAAUGUUGGUGUUUUAAAAAAGUUUUAAAAAAACAUAGUUAAGAUGUUUGUGUAAAAUUGCAUGGUUUAAAAUGUACUUAGUGCAUUGAGAAAUGUUGUUGAGUUCCUCGGUGAAGGAUGGUUUGCUUUUUUGAUUCUAAUGGUGAUUGGUUUGUUGACCAGAGUAUUCCCCUAUACUGUAAGUCUUGCUUUCUUUCACAUCUCCCCUCCCCUCCCCUGCUUUGGUUUGGUUUCCUUCAAGACCUAGCAUAGCGUUUAUCUAUUGAUAUAUGUAAUACCGUUCCUUAAAACCAGGUUGUGGAAACGUUUCAUCUGGGGGGAAAAAAAGAUGUUUUGCGUCAUGGUUUGCGUUCGGUUCCAUCUUUUCUUUCUGCUGCAAAGAUUCAGGUCUGAAGCAAUCGGCUACUUUCAUGAGUUCCUUUAAAUCACUGUGGAAACUGGAGGCUGGAUAUUUGGAGAGAAUAAUAAUAUAUAAUAUGCUUUAUUUAUAUUCCGCUCUUUCUCUCUGAGGGGACUCAGGGCGGAUUACAGAACACAUAUACGGCAAGCAUUCGAUGCCGUUAUACAGUUGACAAGGACAGACAAUACAUAGACAGAGGUAAAGGCUUUCCCCAACUUUCCCAUUUCUGGCAUCUGGACACUGUGCUCGACUCCGGCCACGGGGUGGUGCUGUUGCUCCAUCUUCCAUGCCGAGGAGCUGUGUUGUCUUUUAGCCGUCCUCCAAAUCCAGUUGCCUUAUGGGGUGCCUUUUAUAACCUUCUUGCUUUUUAAAAGUGGUACCUAUUUUUCUACUUUCAUUUCUGCUUUCAACCUGCUAGGUGAGCAGAGAACUGGGGCUGAUGGCAGGUGCUCACCCCAACCCAGGCUUGAACUGCCGACCUUUCGAUCAGCAAGAUUUUCUGCAGGCUGAGCUAAGCAUAGAAUCGCAGAAUUUUUGAACUCGGAAGAGACUUUGGAGGUUAUCUAGUCCAAGCCCCUGUGUACAGCAGGAGUCCAGCCCUAAUGGAUGGGCUCUAAUCAGUAACUUUAGUCCUUUAGUGGACUUCAGCUGCCAGAACCCCUGUCUUCUCACCAAGCAGAUAUCUGGAAACUGAUGUACAAAACACCUGUAAGAGCAAAGUUUGGGAACCACUGGUUUAAAAUGAUUCAAGAAAGGGCAGAACAUCACUGCCAAUGACCACUUGCUCCCCUGUGCAGCCCUUCUUUCCAUUAGGAGAUUCCCACAUCGUGUUUAAGCAAUAUCUGUUUACUUCCAAGUUCCACCCAUUGGUUGGAAAUCCUGUCCUGAGGUGCAACCAAGAAGAAAUCUGCUCCAUCUUCUGUGUGAAAGCAAAGAGCAGUCAUGUCUCUCCUAGAAUGUUUUUCUCCACACCAAACAUAUCCAGCUCUUCCAGCCUUUCCUCUGCACAUAUACAACCUAAUUUGAAGGCCCUGCAUCUUCUAGAUAGACUCUAGUGCCAACUACUUCUGUAAAAUAUGGCCUACAGGAUUGGACAUGGUGUACUAAACAUGUAUUACUAGUGUCAUACAGGACAUAAUAUUUCUGCUGCUGUGGCCUAAUGACUUCAAAAAAUCUCCAAUUGUUGUAUAAACAGCAAAAUUGUCAGUAUCUGUCCAAUUUGCCUACAAAGCCACUUCUGUAGCCAAAUGUGCUUCCAGUCUUCUAAUGAGAUGGUUCCUGUAAGAUAAGUUUACAUUUAAGUAGGUUCAUAAGGACCAUAUCUAUAUUGUUCCAAUAUGGAUGGGCAGGGACUGCUUUUUUUGUUUCAGCCCCAUCAUAGGUUGUUGCAUGCCUUCAAGUCAUUUCUGGCUUGUGGGCUUUCCUUGGCAGAAUUUGUUGAUCCACCCUUGCCUUCUCCUGAGACUGCAAAUAGAAAAGCAACAAGUGUCACUAAAACAUUUAGAUGGAUACAUGUGUAUCUUUAGAAACAUCAUCCAUUAGUUGGAGUAUAUUAGCUUGAAUAUUUUAUUUAUUGAACAGGCAUAUUUAUUAGAGAGGCAGAAAUCUACAGUGAGUUUCCAUACAAAACGAUCUUGCAACACCAUUGGAGCUAACUGAGAAAAAGAGGUUUGUAGCAUAAGAUUCCUUAGAUUCAGUCUACUUCAUCCGUUGUAGUUGAGUCUAGCCAAGCUACAAAUUUCUUUUUCACACUUACUUUCAAGAACAACAUGUCUUUGUAUCCUGAUAAAAACUAACAGCUAUUUCUCUCAGUUUCAGAGAUGCAAAAAGUCCAUAAGUUAGCUUGAUGGUUCCCACUGAGGGUCAUCCAGAUGGAAACAUUCAGUAUUUUAUUCAUGGUCUUUCCAAGGACGAGAACAAAAUCUAGAACUUUCUGUUCUUUUCAGAUGGGCCCUUAAUCCCUAUGGAUGUGCCCUGAAAUUGGCAGGGCAAGUUAGUUAUGAUUUUGCUGAAGUCUUCCUGAUUUCAAAGGACUCAUCUGGACUGGGUUGUUGUGUUUUCUGGGCUGUAUGGCCAUGUUCUAGAAGUAUUCUCUCCUAACGUUUUGCCCACAUCUAUGGCAGGCAUCCUCAGAGGUUGUGAGGUAUGGACUGUCUCAUCUGGACUGGCCAUUUCAUGCACUUCAAAGCUAGUCAGACAACAAACUCCCACAAAAGAGCAUGAAAAAAGCUCUUAAAGCGCAUCAAUGCUCUGUGGUUCAUAUGAUCACUAUCUGGACCUCUUACUGGUUCCAGGAUUUCCUAUGUAGUCAUCUGCACAGUGGAAGCACUUUCUUCAGUACUGGUUUGGAACUGCAUUAAAUGGUUGUUGUAGAUGGGUCCUUUGUAAAUCUCUCCCUAAGGCAGUGGUUCCCAACAUUUGGGCCUCCAGGCAUUUUGGACUUCAGUUCCCACACUUCCUAACAGCUGAUAAACUGGCUGGGAUUUCUGGGAGUUGAAGCCCAAAACACCUGGAGAUCCAAAGGUUGGGAACCACUGCCCUAAGACAUGAAAGCCCAUAAGAGUUGUGUUGUCGAAGGUUUUCAUGGCCGGGAUCACAGGGUUUGUUGUAUGUUUUCUGGGCUAUAUGGCUAUGUUCCAGAAAUAUUCUCUUCUGACAUUUCGCCCACAUCUAUGGGCAAGGUACCUCACAACCUCUGAGGAUGCCUGCCAUAGAUGAGGGCGAAACAUCAGGAGAGAAGACUUCUGGAACAUGGCCACAUUGCCCGGAAAACACACAACAACCCCAGAAGAGUUAAUUUCUGUCUGUCUUCACGGGUUGUACUGGCAUUAUCUUGCUUCAGUUGAAGUUGGGACAAUGCUCUAGAGUUUGCCUAAAACUACAGAGCUCCGGACAGUGUGGACAGCUGGAUCAGGUCCAACACAAACCUACAUGAGACAUCACUACCAUCCACUUUUCCCUGUGCUCCUCAACUUCUCAGCAUGGGGAAAGGGAAAUGUUUGUGUCCAUGUCAAUGCUGUUUCCAGGUAGCCGCAGAGCUCCAUAUGAGCUCCUUGCUAUCAUAUGCCAAGGAAGAAGAUAUGGAGAUCAUCUACCUUCUCCUUUCUGGUGAUAUGGAGCUUGCUUGGAGCUCUAUGGUUGGCUCUGAACAGCAGCAGUGAUGUGGAAGGAGAGGUGUUGACCUGGUUGGAUCAUGUGGAGGCCAAUGUGGCCUCCAGAUGAUCUGAGGUUCAUGCGAACAUCUCCUGGAGGCCACAUCAUGACAUGGAAGGAGAGGUGUUGACUUGGUUGGAUCAUGUGGAGACCAAUGUGGCCUCCAGAUGAUCUGAGGUUCAUGCGAACAUCUCCAGGAAUAGUCAUGACGUGGAAGGAGAGGUGUUGACCUGGUUGGAUCAUAUGGAGGCCAAUGUGGCAUCCAGAUGAUCUGAGCUGCAUGUGAACACCUCCAGGAUCAGUAUGGAUUAUUUCUGCUCUGGACUGUCCACAUAUUUACCACCAGUGAAGACUCGACCUCUCUUUUGUUUUUCAGUGGGACUUUAGGAACCACUUUCCCCCUAUUUUUGUAAUUAUCCACCAGUUUAUGUGGCUCCUAGCUCAG
rnacentral:lncRNA from 1 species